GACGAACGCUGGCGGCGUGCUUAACACAUGCAAGUCGAGCGAUGAAAGCCUUAUGAACUAUUCGUAGUGAUUGGGGCCGGAUUAGCGGCGGACGGGUGAGUAACGCGUGAGCAACCUGCCUUAAACAACGGGAUAGCCUCGGGAAAGCGGGAUUAAUACCGUAUGAAACCCCGUCUCCACAUGAAGAAGGGCGUAAAGAUUUAUCGGUUUAAGAUGGGCUCACGUCUGAUUAGCUAGUUGGUGAGCUAAAAGCCCACCAAGGCCACGAUCAGGAACGGGCUUGAGAGAGUGAACGGUCAUAUUGGAACUGAGACAGGGUCCAAACUCCUACGGGGGGAAGCAGAGGGGAAUAUUGCACAAUGGGGGAAACCCUGAUGCAGCGACGACGCGUGAGCGAUGAAGGAAUUCGUUUCGUAAAGCUCUGUCCAAGGGGAAGAUAAUGACAGUACCCUUGGAGGAAGCCCCGGCUAAAUACGUGCCAGCAGCCGCCGUAACAC
rnacentral:rRNA from 1 species